CCUGUAGAGAAAUAACAAAGUAUGAGCAAAGAGAAGCAAUUUAUCUGCAGUCCUGAAGGCAUCUGUGUGUAUUUAAGAUUCUUGCAAUUAGGCAACUUAGAUCAGAUUAGAAUUGCAAUCUAUCAGAUUAGAAUUGUGUUAACAGGUGGUUACACACAUAACCACUGUAAGCCUACAACAUGUAUGAUGCCAACAUAUGGUAUUAAUUCAUAAGUAAUAAUGAAAUAGAUGCUAGCAUUCAUCAAUAUAUUGUUACCAAGUUCCUAAAUAGUGAAGAUGUCACAUCCAGACAAGUUAUUAGCUAUCAAGAAUCUCUGACAUAUGGUAAGAAAGUUCAUUUUAUUGAGCUGUUUGGGUAUGUUUAACUUUAGCACUAAAGUUUGGUCAAGGUGCUUCCAGAUCAAAAAAGAUAAGCAAAUGCUUCUUCCAAGCACAAAUGGGGAUUUCCAAUUAAGCACUGCAACAGAAUGUUGUGUUACAACACGGUAUAUUCUAUUUCAUGAUUUCUAUCCACCUACUGCAUCUUACCUUUGCAGCAGAAACAGCCGUUUUCUUGGUUGCCUGCUUAGCCUUCUUGGCUUCUUUUGCAGCCCUGUUAAUUCACAGAAAAACAGUAACAGUUAUCCGUGUCUGCCAUUCACUGUUUCUUUGUCUCAGCACUGUAAGAACUCCCUAAGAUGAGGAAAGGAAUGCAUUAUUUCAGGUUUAUUCUCUGCAUUCAGUACUCUCUAGGGAGAUUACUACAGAGACAGCAGAACUGUGUGUAACAAAAGGGGUAUUUUCACAAAGGGAGAGGGCAAGAAGAGAUCCUCCUCUGCUGCUACUAUCUCUUGCUGAGAUUACUCAGUAUUACCUCCAAACAUACUGAUUAAAGAAAAAACCACAAAAAAGUUUAUAAAACAUGGAGCUCAUCUAGAGUUUAAGCUCUUGUAGGAAAAGCAUUAAUAAUCUUUGAAAAGCCUGGGAUAGCUCCACUUAUCUCUGAUUUCUCACCUAAUAGCUUGUUCCCUCUGUGCCUUUCGUACUUCGGGCUUCUGAUUUCGUUUAGCCAUAAUCUCAGCUAAAGAUGCACCAGUGAUAGCUCUCUGAAACUUAA